GAUGGCAGCUGAUUAACAUCUGUUGGUUUGAUUAAGAUCAUAUAGAUGGCAGAUUUUCAGGAUCCAAUAACUCUCUGGUUUGCAACAAAGAGAGACUUUGUGUAGUAGAGCCUGCCCUGCCCAUAAAGACCCAUAUGCUUUGCAUUCGCCUUUCACACCUGGAGCAGGAGGGAAGCUAGGGUGCCCCAAUUGCUCGUGUAAAUUCCCUUUUAUGUUAGACCAAUAAAAUAUAUUAACAGGCAUUCCCGCUACUGUUGGUAUUGCAUAAUAAUGGAGUGGAAAUUGUAGGCCAGCAAGACAUGACUUAUAGGAGAUUCCAAUGUAGCAUCACGUUAAUUGUGAGCUAGGAAGAAGCCAAGAGGAUUUUUCUUGUAGCUAAGGAAAAUAUUGUUAACUUAUUUGGUUGUUUUAUUAUUAUGUUGUAAAUUGUGUAGCUAGCCUUCUUUGUUUCCUUGAAGUAUUAACCAUGGAAUUUUGAAGUAUUACUAUAGUAAAAGGAAAGAGCUAAUGAAAUUCUGUUCUCUCAUUAUUGUAUAUGUACUUAUAAUAACUUGUGACCUAAAUCAAGAUUUCUAGCCCACUUAGAAUAAAACCAUUAAGUCAAUAACACUUAGGACUUCAUCACAUUCAAUAAAAUAAUGAUGAUGAUGAUGAUGAUGAUGAUGAUGAUGAUGAUGAUGAUACCAGGGGACUCAAAGCAAUUCAAAUGGGGACCAAGCCCAAAUCAACAGAUAAAACAAUAUGACAAAAUUAUAUCAAUGUCAAAUCAAUGUUUCUACACAUUUAAGAAACAGCUACCAACUGAGCCCAUCACCUGAUGCAAGCUCAUACAGUGAGUUCCAGGUAUUUCAUCAUUUCUAAAAUGUGGUUCUUUCCUAUGCUUCCUAAGUCAUUUGGUAACUGACAUGUUUUGCGAUUCCCCACCUAGAGGUGUGUAAAAUCACCUAAUUUACCAUGUAAUGGGAAUUCCGCCUUGCCUGCUUGUAAAGAUAAUGACGAUGUCAUCAUGGAUGGAAAAGCCAAGAUGGGCAUUACUGAUUCCUUUCUUCCGCCAUUACCGUUUUGGGACCAAGGAGGAAGCUUUAACUACAACCAUGAAUGACCGGGUUACCAUCCAUCCUGAGUUAGAACACUUCCCAGGGAAGAUCGCUUGCAUCCCUAUGUAUCUUUUCUGCACUGGGGUAAAACUUAUAUAUCAGCUAUUUUAGGCAUGUGAGUAUUGUAAUAUUGAAGCCCUUAUUUUUGUUUAUGUGGUUUCAUUUCUACCUUUUGGGUCUAAUGGUGCUUUUAGCCUUUGCUCUCCGGACUAUAUUUGCUCUUGUUUUGUAAUAUUCUUGCAGUGCUGAGUUUUACUGUUUUGUUGUCUUUUUGUGUAUCUCUGUGGUUUUAAUUUUGGAUUUGUACAAUGUUUAUUAUAAUCCAUUCCACAAUAAUAAAUAUUUUAUUAUUGAAAACAGUUA